rnacentral:sRNA from 1 species
GUCACGCAAGUGACAUACAAGGUCUAGUAGUAAGAAGCCCCGCCUUAUAGUCGGGGCUUUUUAUUUGUUAAAUUACGGGCAUUUGCCCUUUUUUU